rnacentral:rRNA from 1 species
CCUACGGUGUGCAGCAGUGGGGAAUAUUGGACAAUGGGGGGAACCCUGAUCCAGCGACGCCGCGUGAGUGAAGAAGUAUUUCGGUAUGUAAAGCUCUAUCAGCAGGGAAGAAAAUGACGGUACCUGACUAAGAAGCCCCGGCUAACUACGUGCCAGCAGCCGCGGUAAUACGUAGGGGGCCAGCGUUAUCCGGAUUUACUGGGUGUAAAGGGAGCGUAGGCGGUGCAGCAAGUCUGAUGUGAAAGGUCGGGGCUCAACCCCGGGACUGCAUUGGGAACUGCCAUGCUGGAGUGCCGGAGGGGCAGGCGGAAUUCCUAGUGUAGCGGUGAAAUGCGUAGAUAUGAGGAGGAACACCAGUGGCGAAGGCGGCCUGCUGGACGGUGACUGACGCUGAGGCUCGAAAGCGUGGGGAGCAAACAGGAUUAGAUACCCUGGUAGUC